rnacentral:rRNA from 1 species
CCUACGGGAGGCAGCAGUGAGGAAUUUUCCGCAAUGGGCGAAAGCCUGACGGAGCAAUACCGCGUGAGGGAUGAAGGAUUUUGGUCUGUAAACCUCUUUUCUCAAGAAAGAAGUUCUGACGGUACUUGAGGAAUAAGCAUCGGCUAACUCCGUGCCAGCAGCCGCGGUAAUACGGGGGAUGCAAGCGUUAUCCGGAAUGAUUGGGCGUAAAGCGCCUGUAGGUUGUUUAUUAAGUCCGUUGUUAAAGCCUAGGGCUUAACCCUAGAAAAGCAAUGGAAACUAGUAGACUAGAGUAUGGCAGGGGUAGAGGGAAUUUCUAGUGUAGCGGUGAAAUGCGUAGAUAUUAGAAAGAACACCGGUGGCGAAAGCGCUCUACUGGACCAUUACUGACACUCAGAGGCGAAAGCUAGGGUAGCAAAAGGGAUUAGAUACCCCUGUAGUCCUAGCCGUAAACGAUGGAUACUAGAUGUUGUGCAUUAUGUACAGUAUCGUAGCUAACGCGUUAAGUAUCCCGCCUGGGGAGUACGCUCGCAAGGGUGAAACUCAAAGGAAUUGACGGCUGGAGAGUGCGAGCGACACGAGGGAGAG